GAUGAAGAACGUAGCUAAAUGCGAUAAGUAAUGUGAAUUGCAGAAUUCAGUGAAUCAUCGAAUCUUUGAACGCACAUUGCGCCCGCCAGUAUUCUGGCGGGCAUGCCUGUUCGAGCGUCAUUACAACCCUCAGGCCCCCGGGCCUGGCGUUGGGGAUCGGCGGAAGCCCCCUGCGGGCACAACGCCGUCCCCCAAAUACAGUGGCGGUCCCGCCGCAGCUUCCAUUGCGUAGUAGCUAACACCUCGCAACUGGAGAGCGGCGCGGCCACGCCGUAAAACACCCAACUUCUGAAUGUUGACCUCGAAUCAGGUAGGAAUACCCGCUGAACUUAAGCAUAUCAAUAAGCGGAGGA
rnacentral:misc_RNA from 1 species